rnacentral:rRNA from 1 species
AUGCCCUGCCGGUGUAAGCUAAACGUAGAUGGAGCACAGUGGGUGGUCACUAAAUAUUUUGACGAGCACAACCACAAACUCAUAAAUAAGUUUGACCUGGUAAAAUUUCUGACCGCCCAUAGACACACCCUCGAGAAGAAAUUCAUAAAGCUGCUACAUGAUUGUAACGUCGGUCCAUCAAGAAUGGUCCAGAUACUAUCACUCAUCCACAGCAAAAAAGAGACUCUGAGUAGCAUGCCCUACAUACCAGCUGACGUCACAAACCUAAAGGCAAAGUACCAUAGAGAGAGCAAGUUGGCUGACAUAGAGGCCACAAUGGCCUACUUCGAUGAGAAAGCGAAGGAAGAUCUAGAUUUCUUCUACAUGAUAAGGUUGGACGAUGAGGACCGUGUCAGGAACAUAUAUUGGGUGGAUGGUGCUGCAAGAAGAGCCUACAAACAUUUCCGAGAUUGCAUUUCAUUCGACGCGACAGAUCUCACUAAUAUGUACAAGAUGCCAUGCGCUCCAUUCAUAGGAAUAAAUAACCACAACAUGGAUGGGUACAUUUGGCUGUUCAAGACCUUCUUGGAGUGCAUGGAUGGACUUGCUCCGAUGAACAUAAUAAUAGACCAGGAUUUUAGCAUGCGUGCAUGCAUAGAGGAGGUCUUUCCGUUGGCAGUGCACAGGCACUGCAGGUGGCCAUUAUAAAGAAGGCUGAGGCAGUGCUUCUUCCCGUUUCUGCAGACUACGCAGCGCAGCGAGGGGUUCAAUGCUGUUUUGAAGCGGUACAACGGCAUUGUGUGUUGUCACAUACUAAAAGUAAUGGACAUGAACGUGGUGACAUGGAUGCCCCGCCAUUUCAUAAGGCGGCAAUGGACUUGGGACGCUGAUGACGCGUUGGCGCCACAGACAACAAAUGCAGUUCUGGCUGUGCAUGACGAGAGACCGGAGUCAACCAUGGAAGCCAUGAGGCAUGUUGUGUUGACAAAGAAGUAUGCUGAGCUAAUUGAUGAAGCGUGCAAGAGUGAUGAGACAGCGAGAGUCACAGAAAAACACAGGAAGGCCCUGAAAAGAGAGCUUGAUGAGAUCAAGAAGAGGAAAGCUGAGGAAGCCUUACACAGGUUCCCCCGCACAUCAAGUGUGCCUUUGUCCACGAGGCCAUCAUCUGAAAACUCGAAGAUAGGAUCUGGAACAGCAAGCACACAAACCCAGGCCAGGAACCUGCCCCGUUCCAUCACAAAGGGGCGUCCAAAAGAGAUAAGAUACAAAUUGGGAUUGGAGAUUCAAGCAAAACACAAGAAAACAAAGAAAGGGACGGGCAAUCUGUAA